rnacentral:rRNA from 1 species
GGAAUACCCGCUGAACUUAAGCAUAUCAUA